UCGUGAGACAGUUCGGUCCCUAUCUGUUGUGGGCGUGGGAAGUUUGAGAGGAUCUGGCCUUAGUACGAGAGGACCGGGUUGGACCAACCUCUGGUGUACCGGUUGUAGCGCCAGCUGCACGGCCGGGUAGCCACGUUGGGAGCGGAUAAGCGCUGAAAGCAUCUAAGCGCGAACCCCACCUCGAGAUGAGACUUCCAUACAAGGGGCGUUGGAGACGACAACGUAGAUAGGCUGCAGGUGUAAAGGCAGAGAUGCCAAAGCCGAGCAGUACUAAUUGCCCAAUGGCUUCGGGCGC
rnacentral:rRNA from 1 species